rnacentral:rRNA from 1 species
UACAGAGGGGGCAAGCGUUGUUCGGAAUUACUGGGCGUAAAGGCGCGUAGGCGGCCUGUUAAGUCGAACGUGAAAUCCCCGGGCUCAACCCGGGAACUGCGUCCGAUACUGGCAGGCUUGAAUCCGGGAGAGGGAUGCGGAAUUCCAGGUGUAGCGGUGAAAUGCGUAGAUAUCUGGAGGAACACCGGUGGCGAAGGCGGCAUCCUGGACCGGUAUUGACGCUGAGGCGCGAAAGCCAGGGGAGCAAACGGG